CUUUUGUUGUUUUCUCAGCACUUGGCGGCAACUUAAACUAAUGGCUACCUGCUUUGUCUUCAACCUUUCAACUUCUCCAAAACCCCCUACUCCACUCCCUCCUAAACCCACUUAAACCCCAACAACACGAACCCGAUACCCGAACCCAAAUCCAAACCCCUUAACCAAAGCUCAUCAUCACCGGCACUUCCAAGCUCUCCGGCCAUGUACCCAUCAGUGGCUCCAAGAACUCAGCCUUGCCCAUUCUCGCAGCUACCCUUUGCUGCGCAGGCACUUCAGUCAUUCACAAUGUGCCCAAUUUGUCAGAUACUCGCACAAUGGCUUCUGUCUUAGCCUCUCUGGGUGCUAAAGUUUUUUAUCAGCGAAAUCAUGGUUAACACUGUGGGAUUACAUCUGUUGAGCCUAAUUCGGAUGAGAUUCGGAAGAUCCGAGGUGGGUUUUUCGUUCUUGGGCCGCUGGUAGCCCGGUUCGGUGAGGCUGUGGUUGCAUUACCCGGUGGCUGUGACAUUGGGGCUAGACCGGUGGACCUUUACAUUCGGGGUCUUCAAGCUCUUGGUGCUGUUGUGGAGAUGAAGGAUGGCAAAGUUCAGGCUUAUGCAUUAAAUGGAAGAGGAUUGGUUGGGGGAAAUUUCCAACUUGAUUACCCUAGCGUUGGGGCAACAGAAACCCUUCUGAUGGCUGCAUGUAUGGCUGAUGGAACAACUAUACUGUCCAAUGUUGCCAGAGAACCAGAGGUGGUUGAUCUUGCUCGAUUUCUGACUAAAAGUGGGGCCUGUGUGGAAGGAGCAGGAAGCAACAAGUUUGUCAUCAAGGGAAAAUCUCAUUUGCAUGGUUGUAAAUGUACUAUUGCACCUGAUCGUAUUGAAGCAGGCACGUUUAUGCUUGCUGCAGCUAUUACUCGCUCAUUCAUUUCAAUUUCGCUUGUCAUUCCUUCCCAAGUUUCCUGUCUGAUGCAAAAACUCUUGGCCGCUGGUUGCAAAAUAAGGCAAUGCUCUCAUGAUACCUUGGACGUUUCAGCAGUGUCUCAAUGUGGUGAGAAUUUGCGAGGUUUUGAGGUUAAGACAGGGCCAUUUCCCGGGUUUCCUACAGAUCUCCAACCGCAAACAAUGGCCCUGCUAACCACGUGCAAUGGUUUAAGUCCUGUAGAAGAGUCUGUAUUUGAAAAGCGCAUGGCUCAUGGUCAUGUAAACGAACUGCGGAAGCUUGGAGCAAAAAUUCAAGUCUGUGCAAGCUCUGCUCUGGUUUUCGGGAAAGAUAAUAGAAGUGGUUUGUCUGGUUCCUGCCUUGCUGCAACUGACCUCAGAGGUGGGAUAUCAUUGGUAUUAGCUGCAUUGGCUGCAGAAGGUGCUACUGAGAUCAGCGGUGUUGCUCAUAUUGACCGUGGUUAUGAGAAUGUAGAUACAAAAAUUCAUAUGCUGGGAGCCGAUAUCAAAAGAUUAACGGCCCCUGCUUCUUCCUAGUGGAACAAGUACAUAAUUCUUCCCAUUAUAAUUUCUUAUCUUUCUGGACGAUUGGACCCAUUGUGACUGACGAGGAUUUUGACAAAACUACUCUUUCGCUUGCUAAAUAUCGUGUUUCAAAGCCAGGCUAAGAAUGGGUUGUGAGACAGGUGACAGAGCUAUACAUACACAUCAGAGUGAAGAAGAUUCUAAGAUGGUUAUAGUAGUGUCACAGGUUAAAGGUCCUUAGUUUCUUCAUAGCUGUACAGUGGAAACCCCCAAACCUACAUCAUUCAAGGCUUCAUCACCCUUCUCCAUAUAAGCCCAUUCACAAAUUCGAUCUCAAGUUCAGCUAUUGACAAAGCUGUAUUUUUGGGAGAUAGAGGAGGAAUUUGGUUAGGUUUUAGAGUGAAAUUGCUCUCCUACAAAUUCUUCUGGCUGACUUCAACCUCCCAUAGAAGACUCUUCAUUUGAGGAUUUGGUGAUGAAGACUAUCAACUUUGUUCUGUUUUUGUACGUUUCAGUGCUUCGUCUUAAAAGUUUAGAAGCUUAUGGAACAAUUACCGUUAGUUCUAUUACUCUUGCAAGUACUGCUUGUCCUAUUUCUGCUUUAAGAAGAUCAACACCUCCUCGAACGAUUAGUUCCUGUUCUGACGCCCUUGCUUGCAAAGUUCUUACCUCCUCAUCCUGAAAUGGCAUUGUCUAGGAAAAGCCAACAGGAUUUCAAGGAAAUUGAGCUUAGCAAACCUC